CCCAAUCCAUCUUUUUAGCAGCUGAGAAGAGAGAGAGAGAGAAAGAGAGAGGAGAGAGAGAGCUGUGGAAUCGCUCUUUUUGUUUGUUUGCUUCUUCUGUGUGACUGGGACCAGAGAACUCUUCUUAUUGGUGAACUUUCAAAAGGGGAAGACCUAGCAGUGUUGAUGAUGUUUCACUUUGCACUGUAUAUAAAUUGAGCCGAUGACAGAUGGCUAGAUGAUCGGUUCUUGAUGAUGAACUGGUUGGGAAUUCCAGGAAUGCGACAGCCUAUUCAGCUAGAUGAUGAUAGCCUCAUGCAUAGUCCACAUCAAAUCGGCCUAUCCAUGCACAUACUUUGGUUUGUAGACCUUGGGACCAGAUAACUCUUCUUAUUGGUGAACUUAGCAGUGUUGCUGAUGUUUCACUUUGCACUGCAUAUUAAUUGAGCUGAUGACAGAUGUCUAGAUGAUCGGUUCUUGAUGAUGAACUGGCUGAGAAUUCCAGGAAUUCUACACUUGGUUGGUGGUUGCUGCAGCCUAUUCAGCUAGAUGAUAUGAUAAGCCUCAUUCACAGUCCACAUCAAUUGGCCUAUCCAUACAACAUACAUUUGGUUUGACCAAGAAGAACAAGGGGAUUUCAAUAGUCUAUCAUGGAUAUAUAUUGUUGGUUGGAUUAGGUUAAAGUCUUGAGCCUGAUUUCUUCAUUCUGUAAGAAACUUGACCCUAUUUAUGACUUCAAGUUGUUGGUUCAUUAGUGAUUUACCCUAGACCUUGGUCUAGGAGGUUAGGCCCCAUCCCCCACUAUCUUUUGGUCUUGUUCAAUUGUCAUAAUAUACUAUUAUCCCAUUAUAUAUAUAUGUGUUAUACAAUGUCCCCAAGAUAGAAUUUUCAAGAUUCUAUGUAAUAAAAACAGUUCACUCUUUUCCAUAUAUGUCAUGGAUCAUCUCUUUUAUUUAUAUACUUAAGAAACAAUUGCACUGUUGUUGAUGUGUAAAUAGUAAAAUUAGGCCUUUCAUUAUUAGAAUAAGUCGGGUGAGAUAUUUAAGAGGUUUUGAUU